rnacentral:rRNA from 1 species
CAGUCGCCGCGGUAAUACGGAGGGGGCUAGCGUUGUUCGGAAUUACUGGGCGUAAAGCGCACGUAGGCGGCUUUGUAAGUCAGAGGUGAAAGCCCGGGGCUCAACCCCGGAAUUGCCUUUGAGACUGCAUCGCUUGAAUCCAGGAGAGGUGAGUGGAAUUCCGAGUGUAGAGGUGAAAUUCGUAGAUAUUCGGAAGAACACCAGUGGCGAAGGCGACUGACUGGACAAGUAUUGACGCUGAGGUGCGAAAGCGUGGGGAGCAAACAGGAUUAGAUACCCCGGUAGUCCCUGUCUCUUAUAC